rnacentral:rRNA from 1 species
UACGUAGGGUGCAAGCGUUAAUCGGAAUUACUGGGCGUAAAGCGUGCGCAGGCGGUUAUGCAAGACAGAUGUGAAAUCCCCGGGCUCAACCUGGGAACUGCAUUUGUGACUGCAUAGCUGGAGUGCGGCAGAGGGGGAUGGAAUUCCGCGUGUAGCAGUGAAAUGCGUAGAGAUGCGGAGGAACACCGAUGGCGAAGGCAGCCCCCUGGGCUAGCACUGACGCUCAGGCACGAAAGCGUGGGGAGCAAACAGG